rnacentral:rRNA from 1 species
UCGGGAAACUUUUGCAAUACACGCAAGUGUGACAAAGCAAGCCAGAGUGUUUUUCUAAGUAUUGAAAAACUUUUGCGGGAUGUAAAAAGUCCCGAGAAUAAGGACUGGGCAAGACCGGUGCCAGCCGCCGCGGUAAUCCCGGCAGUCCAAGUCGCAGCCACAUUUGUUGGGUCUAAAAUAUCCGUAGCUUGCCAUGUAAGUCUCUUGUGAAAUCGGGACUCUUAAGGUUCCGGCGUGCAAGAGAUACUGCUUGGCUAGAGACUGGGAGACGUAAGGAGUACGACGGGGGUAGCGGUAAAAUGCGUUGAUCCCCAUCGGACUAACAAUAGCGAAGGCACCUUACGAGAACGGUUCUGACAGUGAGGGAUGAAGGCUAGGGGCGCAAAGUGG